UACAGAGGUCCCGAGCGUUGUUCGGAUUCACUGGGCGUAAAGGGUGCGUAGGCGGCUUGAUAAGUUUGAUGUGAAAGCUCAGGGCUUAACCCUGAAAUGGCAUUGAAUACUGUCGAGCUGGAGGUUUGGAGGGGGGACUGGAAUUCUUGGUGUAGCAGUGAAAUGCGUAGAGAUGUGGAGGAACACCGGUGGCGAAGGCGGCCUCCUGGGCCAAUACUGACGCUCAUGCACGAAAGCGUGGGGAGCAAACAGG
rnacentral:rRNA from 1 species